GACGAACGCUGGCGGCGUGCCUAAUACAUGCAAGUCGGGCGGACCGAACGAGGGCUUGCUCUUGUUUGGUCAGCGGCGGACGGGUGAGUAACACGUGGGCAACCUGCCCGCAAGACCGGGAUAACUCCGGGAAACCGGAGCUAAUACCGGAUAACACCGAAGACCGCAUGGUCUUCGGUUGAAAGGCGGCCUUUGGGCUGUCACUUGCGGAUGGGCCCGCGGCGCAUUAGCUAGUUGGUGAGGUAACGGCUCACCAAGGCGACGAUGCGUAGCCGGCCUGAGAGGGUGCCCGGCCACACUGGGACUGAGACCCGGCCCAGACUCCUACGGGAGGCAGCAGUAGGGAAUCUUCCGCAAUGGGCGAAAGCCUGACGGAGCGACGCCGCGUGAGCGAAGAAGGCCUUCGGGUCGUAAAGCUCUGUUGUGAGGGACGAAGGAGCGCCGUUCGAAGAGGGCGGCGCAGUGGCGGUACCUCACGAGAAAGCCCCGGCUAACUACGUG
rnacentral:rRNA from 1 species